rnacentral:lncRNA from 1 species
CUGACAUACAAGGUCUUGCCGCAGGUCCAAAGCUCUGUGGCCAGCUGACCACGUACUGAUACCUCAAAGCGAGCCAACAUGGCGCCUCUCACUGCAAGUUGACUCAUCUCAGGUCAGAGAUCGCAUUCUUUAUGACUUGAAGUUUAAUGACAACCUUGCACUGAGCAAAUGUCCUGGCUCCAGAUCUUUCUAACAGCUCAGGUCAUGCAGGACACCAAGAACACCAGCGGGACCACUAUACCCUAGCAAAAGUGGAGAUAACUCCAAAUGUGUUCUAAAGCUUCUGACAGCGAGCUGGAAAAGGAACCGGGGUAAAAGAGACCAAAGCCGA